GCCAGAAAUCCGAGGAGCUUAGUCUGGCUUCCGCCUUAUCGGGCCAGACAGCGUGGAAGCCAGGAAAAAGAACUGGAGCUGCUGUAGCUGGACCUUGGUUUCCAGCAGAAAUUGUCACCUGGUGAGAAGCAACAAUUACUUAACUACGAAUAUCAGGUAUACUUUUAUAGACU
rnacentral:lncRNA from 1 species